rnacentral:rRNA from 1 species
UACAGAGGGUGCAAGCGUUAAUCGGAAUUACUGGGCGUAAAGCGCACGUAGGUGGUUAUAUAAGUCAGAUGUGAAAUCCCCGGGCUUAACCUGGGAACUGCAUUUGAAACUGUAUGACUAGAGUAGGGUAGAGGAAAGCGGAAUUUCCGGUGUAGCGGUGAAAUGCGUAGAGAUCGGAAGGAACACCAGUGGCGAAGGCGGCUUUCUGGAUUCAUACUGACACUGAGGUGCGAAAGCGUGGGGAGCAAACAGG